CAUUUAGUCUAUUCUUGAAGAAAAAGAAGAGUUGCUCAAGGCUGCUCGGAGGCAAGAAAAUCAAGGUGAAGCGGCAGCAGAAGACGAAGAAGACCGUGGCGGAAGUUCAACAAGAGCCGCAUGGAUCCAGGUGCUGCAAUAGAAAGGGCUAUCGUGGAGUGAAGGUAAGGUGGACGCUCUCUUGCUGCUGGCCAUGGCCUCAGGGAUGCUGUGAAGAUGACGAUUGCAAAGUGAGGAGAAGCAGACAGGGUAUGCCAAGGCAUGGCAUUAAUAACAGCUAUAUUAAUCCUUCCUUUGAGAUUAGGCAAAGUGCCUAUAAUUUCUAAACUUUCUUAAAUGCAAACAUGUUUAUAGUAAACACUGCGAUGUGAUAUGUGAAAUUGCAUUUACUUUGAGUAAUAAAUCCGCUUUUUAUUUGAGUAAUAAAUACGCUUUUUAUUAGCUCGGCUCAUGGAUUCAAAAACACCUCUCCCUUUUCUGCCGAGCAUCCUCCUCAUGGAUCCAUCUCUUCUGACAAGAAAAGCAACCACAUUACAUGGUAUGCCACCAAAAAAGGAAAAACGAAAGAUAUCUUGCCUCAAUUGACAGUUCCUCUGGAGCUUCCUUCUUAGCUUGCAAUAGCAGCUGUGAGGGCCACUGGUUGUGGCUUCCAGGGCAUGGCUAUUCAUAGUCGUGGCUGCUGCACUAGUCCUAGCCAUGGCUCGGCCAUGGCUCGGCCAUGGCCAUGGCUUCCCCUGCUGGUUGUGCUUCAUUGGAAAGGAAAGCCCUUGAGCCAGUGCUGGUACUUGGGUCGCCAUAAUCCCUCCCUAUCCUUUGGAAUCCUUGGCAGCACCAUAGCUGUGAGGCACCAUAGACCCUAAAUGGGGGAAGAGGUGCCAUUUCAGCUUUCCAUCAAAAGCUUAAAUGAA
rnacentral:lncRNA from 1 species